rnacentral:lncRNA from 1 species
UGGGUAUUGCUCGCCAGCGUCAAGCCAUUGUAGAUGGUUUGAGAGACAGUGUGAUUGGAUUUUCGGUUAAUGUACCAGGGACAACUGCAAAAGAUGUCAUGGAUAUGGUCCUUGUCACUCAAUACUUUGACACUAUGAAAGAAAUUGGUGCUGCCUCCAAGUCUUCUGCUGUAUUCAUCCCACAUGGACCUGGUGCUGUUCGUGAUGUCGCUAGCCAAAUUCGUGAUGGACUUCUCCAGGGUUCUCAUUCUCAUCAGUAGCUUCUAUUCCUCCUACAUCAUAUCUAAUUUAUAUGGAGUGUGGUGCUUUUUUAAUGCUUUUGGUUGUAAUCUUUUUCUUUUUCUUUUUUUAUGGUGAAAAGGGGCAUAACCCUUACUUUUGGUUGUAAUCUGUAUAUGUGGGAUACAAAUUCAAUGCUGUAGCAUAACCACACAGUUUGACGCUGUAAGCAAUCAUGUCCGUUGAUUGGAAAUUGGACGGCCCGGAUCAGUUACAGCGUCUUGUUGUUACUGUGGGAAAUCCGAUUCCGUAUCUGUGUGUAUAUUAUAUAUAUCUUUUUUUUUAAGCAAUUAUAUAUAUCUUUUUGUAUCAUAUGUUUUUGUAUCAGGUUAAAGCUGCACUUGUCACCAAAAAAAAGAUUAAAGCUGCACUCAUCUAUCUUACCAAAAUGUAAACCACUCACCCUUUCAAAUUCAUCCAUGUAACAAAAAUAGUGAUUUUGAUCUAAAAUAAUUUAGAGAUUAGAGAUUAGUUUUUAGAGAUUUUUAGAAAAGUUGAAUUUACUUUGUGUUUGUUUAUUAUAAUAAAAAUCACUUUUUUUUUUAAAUAAAAAUAAUCUUUAGUUUGUUUGGAUACAACUUAUAAAAGUGGUUUUUUUAACAUUUUUUUUUUCUCCUCUAAAAAAAAUAUUAUUUUAUAAGCUACUCUAAUAGCUUCUCAUUUUUAGCUGUUUUCGGAUUAUUUUUAGCUUCUGAUUAUUUUAAAAAUUUGUAACAAACAGAUGCAAAACAAUUAAAAGUGAUUAUUUUUAUAAAAAAAAUGAUUUUUUUUUUUAAAAUAAGCUAUAACAAAAUGGCCUCUAAAGUCCCUCAAAAUGUUAUAAUACAAUAAUAAUUAUAAUUUAUUGUAUUAACCAUACACGAGAUAAAUAUUAUCACUGGUGUACAAAAAUAAAAAAGUACUUUUAUUAGAAAUUGAUGGAGACACGUACUCCCUCCGUCCCAAAUUAUAAGGAAAAAUUGGUCAAAGAAAGUUGAUGUAUUUGAUUAAAAAUUUGGACCAAAUAUAUUAACUUUACUUGACCAAUUUCCCCUUAUAUUUUGGGACAUAGGAGUACAUAAUAUCAUUUAGAAGCUAGAAUAAUAAAUUAAAAUAAAUUAGGUUAUGCUAGUACAUUAAAAUUGUACUCCAUCCGACCAACCUUAAUUUUAAGCAAAUUUUCAUUUUUAAGAUUCAUUUGAUAACCAAUGUAUUUGGUCUAUAAUUAAGGUCAUAGUUAUUUAUGAAAUUUGUUUACAAUGAGCACAAGAGGGAGUAUAUCUAUAAUACAAAUUAACAUAAUUAUUACCUGAUGACUCAGUUGUGAGGCAAAUCCAUAUUGAAGUGAACGUAGAAAAUGAAAGAUUUAAAAGUUUAGAAGGGUAGAAUUGACAUUUUCUUAUGUUUGCUAAAGGUAGAAGGCUAAACGUAGCCGUGGGAAGGAGUGUGACUGAGAUGAAAUAUCCUUGUUGAGGAAGUUAUCUAUCUUUCUACAUUUGAUGGGGGUAAUCCACACUCUUAUCCACCGUAAUCCAUCCUUUUUAGGUAAAACGACAAUCACCGAGCUUAUUUUAAGUCGUUUUCUCUUGACCCACUCACUUAUAAUAUUCUCUAUAACAACACACUUCUAAGUAACCACAAUUCAUUGAGCAAAACAGAACAACAACAAACAGGUAAGAAUCAUCUUUUCAACAAUACAUUUUCUUUAUUGAUGUUUGUUGAUGUUUGUUGAUAUAUUUAAUUGCAGCUAAAAGCAAAUGGGGAAUCUUUCGUGUUGUAUGCAAGUUCCACAAUCUCAAGUGGCUAUGAAAGAAGGUUUUGGAAAAUUUGAAAAGGUGCUUCAGCCAGGAUGUCAUUGCAUGCCAUGGUUCCUUGGGAAACGAGUUGCUGGUCAUCUCUCUCUUCGGCUACAACAAUUGGAUAUCAAAUGUGAGACCAAAACAAAGGUUUGUUACUGUCUCCAACUUCAAUCAAACCAAACCUUCAUGUCAUUCCAUGCUUAUCAAACUUCUCUCAUAUUUUUGCCAUUGAAUUAAUGUUGAUUGGUUUUAAUAAUGAUUUGCUUACAGGAUAAUGUCUUUGUCAACGUUGUUGCUUCUAUUCAAUACCGUGCCUUGGCAGAAAAGGCCGAUGAUGCUUUUUACAAACUUAGCAACACAAAGAACCAAAUCAAAGCUUAUGUUUUUGAUGGUAUAAACCACAACCCUGCUUAGAAGUACAUAAACAUGCAAUAAACCAUAGCCCUGCUUAUGUUUUUUAUGGUAAAUUAUCAGCUAAUGUAAAAUUUCUAUUCUCAUUGCAGUAAUUAGGGCAAGUGUUCCAAAACUCAACUUGGAUGAUGCUUUUGAGCAGAAAAAUGAAAUCGCAAAAGCUGUGGAAGAAGAGCUCGAGAAGGUAUAUAUUUUUUGUUACAAAUAGUAUUUUAUUGAUAAGGUGAAAUGUAGAUUUAUGUAACCUUGAAUGGUCUCAACAGGCUAUUUCAGCAUAUGGAUAUGAAAUUGUUCAAACACUGAUUGUUGAUAUAGUACCAGAUGAGCAUGUGAAGCGGGCUAUGAAUGAAAUCAAUGCUGGUAAUUUUUUUUUAAACUAUGAGAUGUCGCCACAAAAUUGUUAUUAUAUGAAUUAAUGCUUAUAUGUUCAGUUACUUUUUUAAUUUACUUUAUUCUCCAAAAGAUGUCAAUAAAUUUUUAAGAAUGCUUGCCAUUUUCCUCACAGUAGGUCACACAUGUAUGGAAAACUAUGUAGGCUACUUGUAUAUACAAGCUCUUAUUAUUAAGUAUUUGGUCCUAAAUCUUAUGUGUUGCAAAAAUCACUUUAGCGGUACCGGCCUUUGGUUUGUUUUUCUUCUUUGGGUUCCAAUAGACAGUCAUGCUAUGAUUUGGAUCACAUUAUCUUCAUUAUAUCAGCUCAACCUUGUAUGAUUUAUGAAUUAACUAGAUAUCGUUCGAAGUGUAACUUUUGUCUAAUGAUUAGGUUAUAGUAUACCAUGUGUCUCUACCGAAUGCUAUGCUUAGUUCUUCGAUUACCAUAUUUUCUUAUACUGUUUCAUGUCUUUGAUCAGCUGCAAGAUUGAGGGUGGCUGCUAAUGAGAAGGCAGAGGCUGAGAAGAUAUUGCAAAUUAAGCGAGCUGAGGGUGAGGCUGAGUCUAAAUAUCUCUCUGGUCUGGGUAUUGCUCGCCAGCGUCAAGCCAUUGUAGAGGGUUUGAGAGACAGUGUGAUUGGAUUUUCAGUUAAUGUACCAGGGACUACUGCAAAAGAUGUCAUGGAUAUGGUCCUUGUCACUCAAUACUUUGACACUAUGAAAGAAAUUGGUGCUGCCUCUAAGUCUUCUGCUGUGUUCAUCCCACAUGGACCUGGUGCUGUUCGUGAUGUCGCUAGCCAAAUUCGUGAUGGACUUCUCCAGGGUUCUGUAUCUCAUGAGUAGCUUAUAUUCCUCGUACUUCGUAUCGUAUUAGUAUGGGAGUGUGGUGAUUUUAUAAUACUUUAUGUCUCUG